rnacentral:rRNA from 1 species
UACGUAGGGUGCGAGCGUUGUCCGGAUUUAUUGGGCGUAAAGAGCUCGUAGGCGGUUUGUCGCGUCGGCCGUGAAAUCUCCACGCUUAACGUCGAGCGUGCGGUCGAUACGGGCAGACUUGAGUUCGGUAGGGGAGACUGGAAUUCCUGGUGUAGCGGUGAAAUGCGCAGAUAUCAGGAGGAACACCGGUGGCGAAGGCGGGUCUCUGGGCCGAUACUGACGCUGAGGAGCGAAAGCGUGGGGAGCGAACAGG